GACGAACGCUGGCGGCGUGCCUAAUACAUGCAAGUCGAACGCAGUGGGGACGGGUGAGUAACACGUGGGUAACCUCCCAUCAGAGGGGAUAACACUUGGACACAGGUGCUAAACCGAUACUGAUGGAUGGACCCGCGGUGCAUUAGCUAGUUGGUGAGGUAACGGCUCACCAAGGCCACGAUGCAUAGCCGACCUGAGAGGGUGACCGGCCACACUGUGACGGAGACACGGCCCAGACUCCUACGGGAGGCAGCAGGAGGGAAUCGUCGGCAAUGGACGAAAGUCUGACCGAGCAAUGCCGCGUGAGUGAAGAAGGGUUUCGGAUCGUAAAACGCUUUUGUUAGAGAAGCGGUAUCUAACCAGAAAGCAACGGCUAACUACGUGCCAGCCGCCGCGGUAAUUC
rnacentral:rRNA from 1 species